rnacentral:rRNA from 1 species
GCAGAGGGAUAGCCCAGAGAAAUUUGGAUUAAUACCUCAUAGUAUAGCAGUUUCGCAUGAAACCACUAUUAAAGUCACAACGGCAAAAGAUGAGCAUGCGUCCCAUUAGCUAGUUGGUAAGGUAACGGCUUACCAAGGCGACGAUGGGUAGGGGUCCUGAGAGGGAGAUCCCCCACACUGGUACUGAGACACGGACCAGACUCCUACGGGAGGCAGCAGUGAGGAAUAUUGGUCAGUGGGCGCAAGCCUGAACCAGCCAUGCCGCGUGCAGGAUGACGGUCCUAUGGAUUGUAAACUGCUUUUGUACAGGAAGAAACAGUUCUACGUGUAGAGCCUUGACGGUACUGUAAGAAUAAGGAUCGGCUAACUCCGUGCCAGCAGCCGCGGUAAUACGGAGGAUCCAAGCGUUAUCCGGAAUCAUUGGGUUUAAAGGGUCCGUAGGCGGUUUAGUAAGUCAGUGGUGAAAGCCCAUCGCUCAACGGUGGAACGGCCAUUGAUACUGCUAGACUUGAAUUAUUGGGAAGUAACUAGAAUAUGUAGUGUAGCGGUGAAAUGCUUAGAGAUUACAUGGAAUACCAAUUGCGAAGGCAGGUUACUACCAAUGGAUUGACGCUGAUGGACGAAAGCGUGGGGAGCGAACAGGAUUAGAUACCCUGGUAGUCCACGCCGUAAACGAUGGAUACUAGCUGUUGGUAGCAAUAUCAGUGGCUAAGCGAAAGUGAUAAGUAUCCCACCUGGGGAGUACGAACGCAAGUUUGAAACUCAAAGGAAUUGACGGGGGCCCGCACAAGCGGUGGAGCAUGUGGUUUAAUUCGAUGAUACGCGAGGAACCUUACCAAGGCUUAAAUGUAGAUUGACCGGUUUGGAAACAGACCUUUCGCAAGACAAUUUACAAGGUGCUGCAUGGUUGUCGUCAGCUCGUGCCGUGAGGUGUCAGGUUAAGUCCUAUAACGAGCGCAACCCCUGUUGUUAGUUGCCAGCGAGUGAAGUCGGGAACUCUAACGAGACUGCCAGUGCAAACUGUGAGGAAGGUGGGGAUGACGUCAAAUUAUCACGGCCCUUACGCCUUGGGCUACACACGUGCUACAAUGGCCGGUACAGAGAGCAGCCACUUCGUGAGGAGGAGCGAAUCUAUAAAGCCGGUCACAGUUCGGAUCGGAGUCUGCAACUCGACUCCGUGAAGCGGAAUCG